rnacentral:lncRNA from 1 species
GGAAGAGAAUCAUCCUUCGUGAAGCAUUCGAAGGAGGUGGUCAUCCUUUGUGAAGAUUCAAAGGAGGUGUAAGUUCAUCUCUUGUGGUUUCAAGAGAGGUGAUAUUUCUAAACUCUUACAAAUUGUUUUUCUCUGUGAUUAAUAUUUGUAAUUGUUUUGUGAUAGUGAAAAAGGUUUAUCUUGUUUGAGAUAAGCGACUGGACGUAGGAUCUGUGUGAUCUGAACCAGGAUAAAAUCACCUGUGCAAUUUGUCUCUUUCCCUUACUCUCUUAUUUAUAUUUAAUUAUCUGCUCAGUAAGAAAAAUUAAGAGAAAAAUAAUAAAAGGCACGAUAAAAGUAUAUAACCAAUUCACCCCCCCCUCCUCUUGGUUUGUUCCACGCUAAUAAUUCUGUUGCAGCGAUUCUAACAAUUGGUAUCAGAGCUCGUUGUGAUAGUCAUUCAAAUGGCAGAAUCAUAUCAAACUGUUGCAGAGAGUGCCUUUAUCAAUAGACCAUCGUUGUUCAUAGGUGAAAAUUAUGCAUUCUGGAAGGUUAAAAUGCAAAUAUUUAUUAGGUCUAUUGAUUGUGAGAUUGUGGAUGUUAUUGCAUUUGGUUUGUCUGUUCCUACUAACAAUUUGCAGGAACCAAAGCCUCGUAUUCAUUGGACUGCUAAAGAGAAGAAAAGAUUUCAAAAUGAUGUGAAAGCCCGAAACAUCAUUUCAUCUGCUUUAACCGUUGACGAGUUUUACAGGAUCUCAGUUUGUAAGACNGCUCAAGAGAUGUGGNAAGUGCUGAGAGUGACCCACGAAGGUACAGAUGACGUGAAGAGAGCGAGAAAGAAUACCCUAAUCCAAGAAUAUGAAAUGUUCAGGAUGAAGCAAGGAGAAACAAUAUCAGAUGUUCAAAAACGCUUCACCAAUAUCGUAAAUCACCUCAUUGGACUAGGUAAGUCUUUCGAGAAUGAUGAACUUAAUAUAAAAAUUUUGAAAUCUUCAGACAGGUCAUGGCAACCACAAGUGACUGCAAUUUCUGAGUCACAAAAUCUCAACACAAUGACUAUGGCGGCAUUAUUUGGAAAGUUGAGAGAGCAUGAACUUGACCUUGGAAGACUGGAUGAAGAAGAAGCAAUGGCAAAAACAAAGAAAAAGAGUCUAGCCUUAAAAUCUGAGGUAGAAAGGAGCAAAAGCAAAAUAGAAGAUGAAAACUCAGAAGAUGAAGAAAAUUUGAGACUCAUGAUAAAAAGGCUCAACAAGUUCAUGAAAUCAAAAGACAAAGGAAGAUUCAAAGUCGAAAAGAAAGAAAACCAAGAAUCCUCCUUAAAAUAUAGAUGUUAUGGUUGUGGAGAAAGGGGGCACUUAAAAGCGGACUGUCCAAAUCAAAAGAAGAAUGAAGAAAUAAAGGAAAAGAAAUCCUUCAAGAAAAAGAAGGCUUGCAUCGCAUGGGACGAUGACAAUGAAACAAUUUCUUAUUCGAGCGAAUCUGAUGAAGAGGCAAACAUCUGUUUAGUGGCAGACGAUGACGCUGGAAGCCAAGUAAGUACAUCUAGCAAUUAUGAUAAUUAUAGUCAAUUUAGUGAAAGUGAUUGCAUGAAACUUAUGUUGCUUUACUUGUUGAAUCUGAAAAAUUAGAUAAAGCCCAUAAGAAAUUGAAAAAGGAUUUCAAAAAUUUAAAAUUAAAUUUUGAAAAUAUUUCAGAAAAAAAUAAAAUUUAAAAUCAGAUUUUGAAAAUAUUUCUCAGGAAAAUAAAAGUUUAAAAUCAAAUUUUGAAACUAUACUUGAAGAGAAUAAAAAUUUGAAAAAUAAAAUUUUAUUUUAUGAAAAAGGUAAAUUUACUAGUAGUGAUGAAUGUGCAUCUUGCGAAAAUUUUAAGAAAAUGCUAGAACAAACAACCUUAGAAGAAUGCAGUAAAAUUAAUGAAAAUAAGGUUGUUAAAAAUAAGUAUGUUCCUAAAAUUAAAAAUAAACAUAAUAAUAAAACCUGUAGAACAUGGGUAGAAAAAGGAACAACUUAUAGGAACACAAACUUUAUAUCAUGUUUUUAUUGUAUGAAAAAAGGUCAUACCUCAAAUAAAUGUAAAAUUAAGCAUUUUGGUGUUCCAAGUAGUAGAUAUGUUUGGGUUGUAAAAUGAUUUCAUUUUUUUUAAACCAAAGGACAAUGUUUAUUUAUUUAUUUUAAAUUAUUUUAAUUUUAGAAAAACAAAAUUUGAGAAAAUUUUAUUCCAAGCAUGUUGUCUUUGAUAAAAUUAUGGACCUUGAGGUAAAACCUCUUGAGUCAAUUGAAUCAGAUGCAGGUAAUAAUGAAGACUUGCAGAAGACAACAAAAAAAAAAAGAAUGAUGACAAUCCCUAAGACAAAGAUCUCAACAAAAUAUCAUUACACAACGAAUUUGGAGAUAUAUCAAAAUGGGUAAACAUUAGAAGAGAUCUAUGANUUUUAAAGAUCUCUUAUGAUUGAAUUUUUUUUCAUUUUGUGCCUUUUUGUGCAUUUUUGAAAAUUUAGCCAUAUUUUUGUAUGCUUUAAAAUUCCUAUAUUAUAUGGUUCAAUGUAUGAUUUUUUAUAAAAAAAAAAUCCUUAUCCUAAAAUUAUAUGUUUUAAAUCUCCUAUUCUGUAUGAUUGAAUAAAUAUUUAAAUUUGAAAUAUAUUGGACUCAUAUGCAUACAUGCUUUUAUUAAGGGGGAGUAUUAUCUUAGGGGGAGAACAUGAAACACAACUUUUUAAUUAUGAUCAAAAAGGGGGAGAAAAUAUCUUAAAGCUUAUUGUUAUUCACUAAUGCCCUUGUCUUCCAUGAGUUGUGUUUUUACUCAGAUUAUUACCAAAAACUUUAAUUCAAAGGAGUUUUUGAUCAUCAUCAAAAAGAGGGAAAAUGUUAGCAAAAUGAUGAAGAUGAAGUUUUGAUGAUGCCCAAAUCAAGUCAAAAUUUAUCAAGAUUCAUGAAGAUCCUUUGAAGACUUAUUUUUGUUAUGAAAAGCUUUUGUAAUAAUUAUAGUUUAAUUGUUUAGGACUUAGAUUUGUAGUAGGUUUUGAUUCUUGUAUCUUUAUAUUUUGUAUUUGUUGUUUAGAAUCAAAACUUCCUCGUUUUAAUCAAUUAAUUUUUGAUAUAAUCGAUUAAAAUCGCUGCAGAAGCCAAAACCCAAUCAGCUUUGGAAUAAUCGAUUAAAGCAAGUUUUAAUCGAUUAAUCCUGAGAAUAAUCGAUUAAUACUAGCCGUUGGAGGUUUCUGAUUUGAAAAACUAGUCGUUGUACUUAUUUUAAUCGAUUAACACUAAUAUUAAUCGAUUAAAUGCAUUAAACGGCCAGUUUCGUAGAAUGGAAGAGUAUUUGCUUGAGUCUGUAUAUAGGCUCUCUUUAUCCAUCAACAAUAACUCUUCCCUUGUGCUAAGAACCUCUGAACUCUUUGAGAACUCUGUGAGAUUGUUGAAGCUAAGGAAACUCUUGUCUGCAAAGCUUUGAAGUGCUACUGCGGUGACAGAGGAAUAGCUUAUUCAUCCUUGGUGUGUCCGAGGAAGUGCCUGGAAGAGAAUCAUCCUUCGUGAAGCAUUCGAAGGAGGUGGUCAUCCUUUGUGAAGAUUCAAAGGAGGUGUAAGUUCAUCUCGUGUGGUUUCAAGAGAGGUGGCAUUUCUAAACUCUUACAAAUUGUUUUUCUCUGUGAUUAAUAUUUGUAAUUGUUUUGUCAUAGUGAAAAAGGUUUAUCUUGUUUGAGAUAAGCGACUGGACGUAGGAUCCGUGUGAUCUGAACCAGGAUAAAAUCACCUGUGCAAUUUGUCUCUUUCCCUU